AUUGAACGCUGGCGGCAUGCCUUACACAUGCAAGUCGAACGGUAGCGGGCCUUCGGGUGCCGACGAGUGGCGAACGGGUGAGUAAUGUAUCGGAACGUACCAUUGAGUGGGGGAUAACGUAGCGAAAGUUACGCUAAUACCGCAUAUUCUCUCCGGAGGAAAGCAGGGGACCGCAAGGCCUUGCGCUCUUUGAGCGGCCGAUAUCAGAUUAGCUAGUUGGUGAGGUAAGGCUCACCAAGGCGACGAUCUGUAGCGGGUCUGAGAGGAUGAUCCGCCACACUGGAACUGAGACACGGUCCAGACUCCUACGGGAGGCAGCAGUGGGGAAUUUUGGACAAUGGGCGCAAGCCUGAUCCAGCCAUGCCGCGUGAGUGAAGAAGGCCUUGGUUGUAAGACUCUUCGGUUGGGAAGGAAUUAGCACAGGAUAAUACCUUGUGUAGAUAGAC
rnacentral:rRNA from 1 species